rnacentral:rRNA from 1 species
UUGUAAUUGGAAUGAUAGAAAUUUAAACCCUUUUUAAAGUAUCAAUUGGAGGGCAAGUCUGGUGCCAGCAGCCGCGGUAAUUCCAGCUCCAAUAGCGUAUAUUAAAAUUGUUGCAGUUAAAAAGCUCGUAGUUGAAGUUCUGCUAAAAGUAACCGGUCUGCUUUUAAUAAAGGUGGUAUCUUGGUGUGUAUUUAGCAAUGAUGUCCUUUGAAGUGUUUUUUACUUUAUUGUAAUAAAGCAUAUUCAGGACUUUUACUUUGAGAAAAUUAGAGUGUUUCUAGCAGGYUAACGCUUUGAAUACUGCAGCAUGGAAUAAUAAGAUAGGAUUUUAGUUUUACAUUAUUGGUUUUAAGAGCUAAAUUAAUGAUUGAUAGGGACAGUUGGGGGCAUUUGUAUUUAACUGUCAGAGGUGAAAUUCUUAGAUUUGUUAAAGACAAACUACUGCGAAAGCAUUUGCCAAAGAUGUUUUCAUUAAUCAAGAACGAAAGUUAGGGGAUCGAAGACGAUCAGAUACCGUCGUAGUCUUAACUAUAAACUAUGCCGA